rnacentral:rRNA from 1 species
UACGGGGGGGGCAAGCGUUGUCCGGAAUUAUUGGGCGUAAAGGGCUCGUAGGCGGCCAACUAAGUCGGAUGUGAAAUCCCCAGGCUCAACUUGGGAACUGCAUCCGAUACUGGAUGGCUUGAAUUCGGGAGAGGGAUGCAGAAUUCCAGGUGUAGCGGUGAAAUGCGUAGAUAUCUGGAGGAAUACCGGUGGCGAAGGCGGCAUCCUGGACCGACAUUGACGCUGAGGAGCGAAAGCUAGGGGAGCAAACGGG